AUGCAGUGGCGCACACACACUACCCGGCCUAAACCAUUAAUGGAGCUCCUUGUGCUCCUUGCCGUCUUUGUCUUGGGCUUGUCUGUUUUGAUCCGUCGUAGCAGCCGGCGUGCCCCUGCACCUCCAGCUCCGGUCGUCCUCCACAAGAUCAGCGACCCUGCCGUCGCCCACCGCUUGCUCGUCGACGACGCCGACGCCUUCUCGAACCGCCCGGUGCUGCCCUUUUUCGUGGAGCUGGCCAAGAGGCGCGGUGGCCAACGCAAUGAGAACAUAAGCACGGUGCCCCACGGCCCGCACUGGCGUGCUCUUCGGUGCAACAUCACCGCCGAGACCCUCCACCCGUCGCGCCUCGGGCUUGGGCACAUCGCGCCGCUGCAGCGAGAGGCCAUCCAGGACCUCGUCGCCGCCCUGCAGUCCACCGGCGCCGGGGCAGGCCUCCGGGACAACCUCCGGGCCGCCGUCUUCCGGGUCAUCGCGCGCCUGUGCUUUGGGGACGGAGUCGACGAGUGCCAUGUGCGUGCCGUUUGCUCCCAGGUACAUGGCUUACAGGUCGCCAUCGGAGAGGUCAACCCCUUUUCUGGCCCCUCCAUGCUAGCCAAGCUCGCGGAGUGGAGGUACCAGCGCCAACUCUUGGCCUUUCAUGCCCGGAUCACCGAGCUGUGCCUCCCUCUCAUCGCGGCACGGCGGCGACGACCACACGACGACGACCUGUGUCGUCCGUACGUCGACACACUCAUACAACUCCGCGUCCCCGACGACAAGCACGGCGGCCGGCGGGCUCUUAGCGACGACGAGAUAGUGGACCUCGUGUUGGAGUUCCUCGGCGCGGGCUCAGGAUCGUUGGUGGUGUGCCUCGAAUGGACUCUCGCUCACCUCGUAGUCCAGCCGGAGGUCCAGAAAAAGCUCCGCCAUGAGGUCGACGGCGAGGCCGCUGAUAGGAGCCAGCUGAUCCGUGGCAUGCCGUACCUGCACGCCGUGAUCCUUGAGAGCCUCCGCAUGCACCCGCCGGCACCGGUGGCCCUGCGCCACGUCCAGGCCGACGCGGCUGCCGCUGCGACACUCGUGGGGGGAGGUACAACCAGCGCCGUGACUGUGCUUUUCCUCCUGGGGGACAUGGGAAGGGACAGGAAGGCGUGGAAGGACCCGGACGAGUUCCUGCCAGAGCGGUUCCUGGCCGGCGGCGACGCCGAGGGCGUCGGCCCUCUGCCGGGGCGCAAGGAGACGAGCAUUAUUGUAUCUAUACCAUGGUUUUGGGUACCGGGCGAAAAAUUCGGUUACCGCUCGGUACCCGCAUUUCUCGCUACCACACGAGAAAGCUGCGUAUCGAGCAAAAAAAUUCGAAUUUUUUGA
rnacentral:rRNA from 1 species